CUGAAGCCUCCUGUUUGCCUGGGGUGGGCCUGCCUGGGGGUGACAUUUGUUUGGUGGGCUAUUCUAGAGGCCUCACCCCUUUGUUAUAUUGUUCUGUUAGAGCAAUCACAACAGAAGGUGGUCUGUCCAGGUGACAUGGUGUUGACCCCUCUGUGGUCACUUCCUGUGUCCUGCUCUCUUAAUUAAUGUUCAGUCUCUCUCUUUAUUAUUUUCUUUCCCACUCCUCCUCACUCUCCUGUCUUCUCUCAUUUUCUGUCCUCUUGUUUCUUCUUGUUGUCCCCUCACCACCCUGUCCACUGACAUUGGCUCUUCUCUGUCUUGUUAGUUCCAAGUGACCCCCAUAACCCUGUCCACCCUCUCCUCCUGUCCACUCUGCCUGCUGUCCUGAUCCUGUCACCUCUCCUCCCUGUGUCCUUGUCCCUCUGCCUGUCCACCUUUUCUGUUCUUCCUUUUCUCAGCUCAUCUCACACUCCUCCUCUUUGUUGUUUUCCUUCUCUCGUCUCUCAUUAUCUUUGUUGUCCUCCCUGUCUAUCACCUCCGUCCAGUACCACUUGUCCAUUGCUCUUUGUCCUUCUCGUCCCACUGCCUGUCCUUCUCCAUCCUUCAGUCAGUCAAUGUGGUGUCCUGUGAUCAGUCUGUCCAUCAGGCCGUCAGCUGUGACUUCAUAACCCCACACACCUCACCCUGUUUACUCACCAAAGUGUCUUUAAUUUACAGUUUGGGGUCCGCAGACCCUCACACAGCUGAUGAGCUCCUGAAUCUCCCAGUUUGUUUCUGCUCAGGUGCAGUUCAGUCAGCUGUGAGUGUGGAGAAGAGAGGACUGAGGAGAGAGAUGAGGAACAUCUGGAGGUGAGACCACAUGAGUCCAGGCUGUG